rnacentral:rRNA from 1 species
CCCUUCAGCAGCCGCGGUAAUACGUAGGGNCCAAGCGUUAAUCGGAAUUACUGGGCGUAAAGCGUGCGCAGGCGGUUGUGCAAGACCGAUGUGAAAUCCCCGAGCUUAACUUGGGAAUUGCAUUGGUGACUGCACGGCUAGAGUGUGUCAGAGGGGGGUAGAAUUCCACGUGUAGCAGUGAAAUGCGUAGAGAUGUGGAGGAAUACCGAUGGCGAAGGCAGCCCCCUGGGAUAACACUGACGCUCAUGCACGAAAGCGUGGGGAGCAAACAGGAUUAGAUACCCUGGUAGUCCACGCCCUAAACGAUGUCAACUAGUUGUUGGGGAUUCAUUUCCUUAGUAACGUAGCUAACGCGUGAAGUUGACCGCCUGGGGAGUACGGUCGCAAGAUUAAAACUCAAAGGAAUUGACGGAAGGGC